GAUGAACGCUGGCGGCGUGCCUAAUACAUGCAAGUCGAGCGAACGGACGAGAAGCUUGCUUCUCUGAUGUUAGCGGCGGACGGGUGAGUAACACGUGGAUAACCUACCUAUAAGACUGGGAUAACUUCGGGAAACCGGAGCUAAUACCGGAUAAUAUUUUGAACCGCAUGGUUCAAAAGUGAAAGACGGUCUUGCUGUCACUUAUAGAUGGAUCCGCGCUGCAUUAGUUAGUUGGUAAGGUAACGGCUUACCAAGGCAACGAUGCAUAGCCGACCUGAGAGGGUGAUCGGCCACACUGGAACUGAGACACGGUCCAGACUCCUACGGGAGGCAGCAGUAGGGAAUCUUCCGCAAUGGGCGAAAGCCUGUCGGAGCAACGCCGCGUGAGUGAUGAAGGUCUUCGGAUCGUAAAACUCUGUUAUUAGGGAAGAACAUAUGUGUAAGUAACUGUGCACAUCUUGACGGUACCUAAUCAGAAAGCCACGGCUAACUACGUG
rnacentral:rRNA from 1 species